ACGUAGGGCGCAAGCGUUGUCCGGAUUUAUUGGGCGUAAAGAGCUCGUAGGCGGUCUGUCGCGUCGGAUGUGAAAACCCGGAACUCAACUCCGGGCCUGCAUUCGAUACGGGCAGACUUGAGUACUGCAGGGGAGACUGGAAUUCCUGGUGUAGCGGUGGAAUGCGCAGAUAUCAGGAGGAACACCGGUGGCGAAGGCGGGUCUCUGGGCAGAAACUGACGCUGAGGAGCGAAAGCGUGGGGAGCGAACAGGAUUAGAUACCCUGGUAGUCCACGCCGUAAACGGUGGGCACUAGGUGUGGGGACCAUUCCACGGUCUCUGCGCCGCAGCUAACGCAUUAAGUGCCCCGCCUGGGGAGUACGGCCGCAAGGCUA
rnacentral:rRNA from 1 species